UCGAUGUCAAGUGCACAGAUAACUUCUGUGAUCUGUGGUCAAGUGAGGCUCACCGCGCUCACCGUCGGUUUAACGGUCCAACGCUUCCUGUUCCCUGUUGCUAAGGCCAUAGAUAAAGAACAAGUUCGUAGCCAAUGUCGGCGGUCGAAUUGAAUAAAUACUUUGUAACUCCGUUUUUCGGAGGGGAGUAUUGUGGUGACAACAACCUCGCGUAAGAUUGUAGCGUGAGUUGACAACACCGCAACAUGCCCUCCGAGGGAUAAAAGGAGCUGCCUUUUGGCACCCGCCAUCUUAUGUAGUUUCAUCUUACGAGCACACCACGUGUACGUUACAUUUCGCAAAAUAUACGAUUUGUUAGUGUUUGCUGCUGGGUUUUCAUUUGAAUCUAUGACUGGUUUACUGCUUUUUCUGCAAAUUACCAAAUUUUUUUGUAUGUGAUGUGAGUUGUCGGCGCUAUUUUGUGCCUUGCUGUUGAGUAGUUUUUGUGAUCUCGGUUAUUUCACGUAGUAAGUCAUUGAGAUUAAUUUAAUCUAGGUGUAAAGGAACACACUUGUAGUUGUCUCAUCUAUGUUUAUUCUUACUCUGAUCCUUUUUGGAUCCGCGGUGCACCACAUUACAUUAUGCUUGCUUGCAUUAAUGGUACUUAAUGGGGUUAACAUGUCAGCAAAUAUUAAUUAACUGUUAACCAAUAUGUUCAAUGCUCAUAAUAUUCGUACAUUGAUCUCAGCCUACAUUAAUAAUAGGAGUAUGCACUUUUGUGUAUAUUUCGUAACACGUUAGAGUUACACUACAUAGGGCCAAUAAUGUUAACACAUAAAUCCUCAGUUAUUUUAAUGCUGGAUUGGGAUGAGAUGACUAAAGCUACAUUCUUCAAAGGCUGAUCCUUAAUCUAUGGGAAUUGAACCGCCCGGUAGCUACUACCUAAUUAAAAUGGUGCGGAGAAAAGAAUUAUUUCGAACUACCUUAGUUGCCCUAGUUUGCUUACUUCUAAUAGCUUUGUAUCAGAAGAAUCCGAGUCCGCUGAUUCGUUCGCGUCCCGCAACCUUUCAAGCAAUAAAAAUUGAGGACGAUCAACCGCUUGAAGAGCACUCACUUAAAGAAGUUAUUAUCAAUGCACAAAGAAGUCGGCUGAGAAAAGAACUAUACGACUUUAAAUUUCCAUCCAACCGACCACUAACUAAUUUUGCAAUGGAAGAUGGAGGGCAACCGAUCAGAACGAUCAUUUUCAGUACAUGGAGGUCAGGGUCUACAUUUCUGGGUAAUGUUCUUAAUGCUCUGCCAGGGAAUUACUACCAUUAUAAACCACUGAUGGAUUAUGGAAUCAUAUAAAUUCGAGGCCCACCAGACGCGGAUUCAGCUCUAACUAGAUUGAAAAGUUUGCUCAAUUGUGAUUACACAAAUUUGUACAA
rnacentral:lncRNA from 1 species